UAUGGUCAUAUCCCGUUGAACCACCGGUUCCCGUACAAUCACCGAAGUUAAGCAAAGUCGAGCCUUGUCAGUACCUAGAUGAGUGAUCUCUUGGGAAUACCAGGCGGAUG